rnacentral:rRNA from 3 species
AGACCCGAAACCCGGUGAUCUAGCCAUGGGCAGGUUGAAGGUUGGGUAACACUAACUGGAGGACCGAACCGACUAAUGUUGAAAAAUUAGCGGAUGACCUGUGGCUGGGGGUGAAAGGCCAAUCAAACCGGGAGAUAGCUGGUUCUCCCCGAAAGCUAUUUAGGUAGCGCCUCGUGAAUUCAUCUCCGGGGGUAGAGCACUGUUUCGGCUAGGGGGCCAUCCCGGCUUACCAACCCGAUGCAAACUGCGAAUACCGGAGAAUGUUAUCACGGGAGACACACGGCGGGUGCUAACGUCCGUCGUGAAGAGGGAAACAACCCAGACCGCCAGCUAAGGUCCCAAAGUCAUGGUUAAGUGGGAAACGAUGUGGGAAGGCCCAGACAGCCAGGAUGUUGGCUUAGAAGCAGCCAUCAUUUAAAGAAAGCGUAAUAGCUCACUGGUCGAGUCGGCCUGCGCGGAAGAUGUAACGGGGCUAAACCAUGCACCGAAGCUGCGGCAGCGAACGUAUCACCCAAGACAACUUUACGGAGUUGACGAUUGACGGAGCGAAGCGACGUCAAAGCGUUCAUUAAAGUCGAGUUGGCUUAGGGAUACGUUCGUUGGGUAGGGGAGCGUUCUGUAAGCCUGUGAAGGUGUGUCGUGAGGCAUGCUGGAGGUAUCAGAAGUGCGAAUGCUGACAUAAGUAACGAUAAAGCGGGUGAAAAGCCCGCUCGCCGGAAGACCAAGGGUUCCUGUCCAACGUUAAUCGGGGCAGGGUGAGUCGACCCCUAAGGCGAGGCCGAAAGGCGUAGUCGAUGGGAAACGGGUUAAUAUUCCCGUACUUGGUGUUACUGCGAAGGGGGGACGGAGAAGGCUAUGUUGGCCGGGCGACGGUUGUCCCGGUUUAAGCGUGUAGGUGUGUGUUCCAGGUAAAUCCGGUUCACUUUAACACUGAGGCGUGACGACGAGGCACUACGGUGCUGAAGCAACAAAUGCCCUGCUUCCAGGAAAAGCCUCUAAGCAUCAGGUAACACGAAAUCGUACCCCAAACCGA